UACGUAGGUGACCAGCGUUGUCCGGAUUUACUGGGCGUAAAGAGCGCGCAGGCGGUCGUUCAAGUCGAGUGUGAAAGCCCCCGGCUCAACUGGGGAGGGUCACUCGAUACUGAUCGACUGGAAGGCAGGAGAGGGAAGCGGAAUUCCCGGUGUAGUGGUGAAAUGCGUAGAUAUCGGGAGGAACACCAGAGGCGAAGGCGGCUCACUGGACAGUUACUGACACUCAACUACGAAAGCGUGGGGAGCAAACAGG
rnacentral:rRNA from 1 species